CGGACGGGUGAGUAAUGUAUGGGGAUCUGCCUGAUGGCGGGGGAUAACUACUGGAAACGGUAGCUAAUACCGCAUAAUGUCUACGGACCAAAGCGGGGGACCUCCGGGCCUCGCGCCAUCAGAUGAACCCGUAUGGGAUUAGCUAGUAGGUAAGGUAACGGCUUACCUAGGCGACGAUCCCUAGCUGGUCUGAGAGGAUGAUCAGCCACACUGGGACUGAGACACGGCCCAG
rnacentral:rRNA from 1 species